UACGUAGGGUGCAAGCGUUAUCCGGAAUUAUUGGGCGUAAAGAGCUCGUAGGCGGUUUGUCGCGUCUGCUGUGAAAACCGGAGGCUCAACCUCCGGCCUGCAGUGGGUACGGGCAAACUAGAGUGCGGUAGGGGAGAUUGGAAUUCCUGGUGUAGCGGUGGAAUGCGCAGAUAUCAGGAGGAACACCGAUGGCGAAGGCAGAUCUCUGGGCCGUAACUGACGCUGAGGAACGAAAGCGUGGGGAGCGAACAGG
rnacentral:rRNA from 1 species